rnacentral:rRNA from 1 species
GAUGAACGCUGGCGGCGUGCCUAAUACAUGCAAGUCGAGCGAACGGACGAGAAGCUUGCUUCUCUGAUGUUAGCGGCGGACGGGUGAGUAACACGUGGGUAACCUACCUAUAAGACUGGGAUAACUUCGGGAAACCGGAGCUAAUACCGGAUAAUAUUUUGAACCGCAUGGUUCAAAAGUGAAAGACGGUCUUGCUGUCACUUAUAGAUGGAUCCGCGCUGCAUUAGCUAGUUGGUAAGGUAACGGCUUACCAAGGCAACGAUGCAUAGCCGACCUGAGAGGGUGAUCGGCCACACUGGAACUGAGACACGGUCCAGACUCCUACGGGAGGCAGCAGUAGGGAAUCUUCCGCAAUGGGCGAAAGCCUGAUGGAGCAACGCCGCGUGAGUGAUGAAGGUCUUCGGAUCGUAAAACUCUGUUAUUAGGGAAGAACAUAUGUGUAAGUAACUGUGCACAUCUUGACGGUACCUAAUCAGAAAGCCACGGCUAACUACGUG